ensembl:snRNA U6 U6 spliceosomal RNA
GUGCUUGCUUCGAUAACACAUAUACUAUUACUAAAAUUGGAACAAUACAGAGAUUAGCAUGGCCCCUGCACAAGGAUGACAUGCAAAGUCAUGAAGCAUUCCAUAUUUUU